UACGUAGGUGGCGAGCGUUGUCCGGAUUUACUGGGCGUAAAGGGAGCGUAGGCGGACUUUUAAGUGAGAUGUGAAAUACCCGGGCUCAACUUGGGUGCUGCAUUUCAAACUGGAAGUCUAGAGUGCAGGAGAGGAGAAUGGAAUUCCUAGUGUAGCGGUGAAAUGCGUAGAGACUAGGAAGAACACCAGUGGCGAAGGCGAUUCUCUGGACUGUAACUGACGCUGAGGCUCGAAAGCGUGGGGAGCAAACAGGAUUAGAUACCCUGGUA
rnacentral:rRNA from 1 species